AUUGAACGCUGGCGGCAUGCCUUACACAUGCAAGUCGAACGGUAACGCGGGGCAACCUGGCGACGAGUGGCGAACGGGUGAGUAAUGCAUCGGAACGUGCCCAGUAGUGGGGGAUAACUGCUCGAAAGAGCAGCUAAUACCGCAUACGACCUGAGGGUGAAAGCGGGGGAUCGCAAGACCUCGCGCUAUUGGAGCGGCCGAUGUCAGAUUAGGUAGUUGGUGGGGUAAAGGCCCACCAAGCCAACGAUCUGUAGCUGGUCUGAGAGGACGACCAGCGACACUGGGACUGAGACACGGCCCAGACUCCUACGGGAGGCAGCAGUGGGGAAUUUUGGACAAUGGACGCAAGUCUGAUCCAGCCAUGCCGCGUGCGGGAAGAAGGCCUUCGGGUUGUAAACCGCUUUUGUCAGGGAAGAAACGCUCUGGGUUAAUACCUCGGGGUAAUGACGGUACCUGAAGAAUAAGCACCGGCUAACUACGUGCCAGCCGCCGCAGUAA
rnacentral:rRNA from 1 species